AGUGAACGCUGGCGGUAGGCCUAACACAUGCAAGUCGAACGGCAGCACAGUAAGAGCUUGCUCUUACGGGUGGCGAGUGGCGGACGGGUGAGGAAUACAUCGGAAUCUACUUUUUCGUGGGGGAUAACGUAGGGAAACUUACGCUAAUACCGCAUACGACCUACGGGUGAAAGCAGGGGAUCUUCGGACCCUGCGCGAUUGAAUGAGCCGAUGUCGGAUUAGCUAGUUGGCGGGGUAAAGGCCCACCAAGGCGACGAUCCGUAGCUGGUCUGAGAGGAUGAUCAGCCACAUUGGAACUGAGACACGGUCCAGACUCCUACGGGAGGCAGCAGUGGGGAAUAGUGGACAAUGGGCGCAAGCAUGAUACAGCCAUACCGAGUGGGUGGAGAAGGCGUUCGGGUUGUAAAGACCUUUUGUUGGGAAAGAAAAGCAGCAGGUUAAUACCACGCUGUUGUGACGGUAACCAAAGAAUAAGCACCGGCUAACUUCGUG
rnacentral:rRNA from 1 species